CUCGCCCGGCUCAGUAACACGUGGAUAUCUGCCCAAAGGUCCGGGAUAACCCGGGAAACUGGGGAUAAGACCGGAUAGAUCACCUAUGCUGGAAGGCUUGGUGGUUAAACGUGAGGCCUUUGGAUGGGUCUGCGGCGGAUUAGGUUGACGCCGGUGUAACGUACCGGCGUGCCUGUAAUCCGUACGGGUUGUGGGAGCAAGAGCCCGGAGAUGGAUUCUGAGACACGAAUCCAGGCCCUACGGGGCGCAGCAGGCGCGAAAACUCUACAAUGCAGGCAACUGCGAUAGGGGGACAUCGAGUGGCAUCCACCUUGGGUGCCUGUCCCACCGUCUAAAAAACGGUGGUUACAAGGGCCGGGCAAGACCGGUGCCAGCCGCCGCGGUAAUACCGGCGGCUCGAGUGGUGGCCGAUAUUAUUGAGUCUAAAGGGUCCGUAGCCGGCUUCGCAAGUCUCCCGGGAAAUCCAGCGGCUUAACCGUUGGGCCCCGUGGGAUACUGCGUUGCUUGGGACUGGGAGAGGUGGGAGGUACUCGAGGGGUAGGGGUGAAAUCCUGUAAUCCUUCGGGGACCACCGGUGGCGAAGGCGUCCUACCAGAACAGGUCCGACGGUGAGGGACGAAAGCUAGGGGCACGAACCGGAUUAGAUACCCGGGUAGUCCUAGCCGUAAACGAUGCCCGCUAGGUGUCACGGCGGUCGUGAAUCGCCGUGGUGCCGUAGGGAAGCCGCGAAGCGGCCACUUGGGAGUAAGCCGCGAG
rnacentral:rRNA from 1 species